rnacentral:rRNA from 1 species
AAACAUGUCUUUUUGAUAUUAAUAAAAAGUCUAAUCUGCUCCAUGAAUCAUAUUAAAUAGCUGCAGAAUUUUAACUGUACAAAGGUAGCAUAAUCAAUAGCUUUUUAAUUGAAAGCUGGAAUGAAAGAUUUAAUAAAGUAAAUACUGUCUUUAUUUUAAUAAAAUUAUAAUUUUUAUUUUAGUAAAAAUACUAAAUUGAUUUUAAAAGACGAGAAGACCCUAUAGAUUUUUAUAUUAUAAAUUAAUAAAAUUUAAAUUAAUAAUAAUAAUUAAUUAAAAAAUAUUGAGUUGGGGUAACUAUUAAAUUAAAAAAAUUUUAAUAUUGUAUAAACAAUAAUUAUUGAGUGAAAGAAUUUAAAAUAAAAUAAAAUAGAUUAAAAUACCUUAGGGAUAACAGCGUAAUUUUUUUGAAGAGAUCAUAUUGAUAAAAAAGUUUGCGACCUCGAUGUUGAAUUAAGAUAAAAUUUUAAUGAAGAAGUUAAAAUAUUUUGGUCUGUUCGACCAUUGAAAUCUUACGUGA